rnacentral:rRNA from 1 species
ACGAACGCUGGCGGCGUGCUUAACACAUGCAAGUCGAACGGAAAGGCCCUGCUUUUGUGGGGUGCUCGCGUGGCGAACGGGUGAGUAACACGUGAGUAACCUGCCCUUGACUUUGGGAUAACUUCAGGAAACUGGGGCUAAUACCGGAUAGGAGCUCCUGCUGCAUGGUGGGGGUUGGAAAGUUUCGGCGGUUGGGGAUGGACUCGCGGCUUAUCAGCUUGUUGGUGGGGUAGUGGCUUACCAAGGCUUUGACGGGUAGCCGGCAUGAGAGGGUGACCGGGCAGCUUGGAAGUAUGAUGCAGAGGGGGCUCAUCCCGGAGGCAGCAGCGGGGCGUGGUGCAUGACGGUCUGGGGCCUGAUGCCCGCAUGCGGCGUGGGUGAAGAGGGCCUUACGGUUAUAAAACACUCUACCCCUGCACGCUACGUGACUGACGGUAAGGAAUAAAGACGCAAAUGCUCGCUACAUC